rnacentral:rRNA from 1 species
GCCCCGCCGUAAACUUAGAUGUCAGACUACAAUAGACAUCCGCCUGGGGACUACGAGCGCCAGCUUAAAACCCAAAGGACUUGGCGGUGCUUCAGACCCCCCUAGAGGAGCCUGUUCUAGAACCGAUAACCCCCGUUCAACCUCACUAUUUCUUGCCCCUCCCGCCUAUAUACCGCCGUCGCCAGCUUACCCUGUGAAGGAGAAAAAGUAAGCAGGAUGGGCAUAGCCCAGAACGUCAGGUCGAGGUGUAGCGUAUGAAAUAGGAAGAAAUGGGCUACAUUAUCUGAGCCAGAUGACUACGGAGAGUCGCCUGAAACCUGGCGAUUCGAAGGUGGAUUUAGCAGUAAGGGGAGAAUAGAGCGCCCCCCUGAAGCCGGCUCUGAAGCGCGCACAUACCGCCCGUCACUCUCCCCAACAGCACAGCACCUAGUAACUAACACAAUAUUAGCUACAAGGGGAGGCAAGUCGUAACAUGGUAAGUGUACCGGAAGGUGCACUUGGAACAAC